rnacentral:tRNA from 1 species
GGGUAAAAGCUUUAAGCGACUAACUGUUAAUUAGCAGAUAACGAGACUACUCGUUUACCCC